GUAGGGAAUAUUGUCAAUGGCGAGGCCUGAACCAGCCAUGCCGCGUGCAGGAAGACGGCCUUCUGGGUUGUAAACUGCUUUUAUACGGGAAGAAAACGCCCAUGCGUGGGCAAUUGACGGUACCGUAGGAAUAAGCACCGGCUAACUCCGUGCCAGCAGCCGCGGUAAUACGGAGGGUGCGAGCGUUGUCCGGAUUUAUUGGGUUUAAAGGGUGCGUAGGCGGGCGCUUAAGUCAGCGGUGAAAGCCCACGGCUCAACCGUGGAACCGCCAUUGAUACUGGGCGCCUUGAGUACCGUUGGGGUAGGCGGAAUUUAUGGUGUAGCGGUGAAAUGCAUAGAUACCAUAAGGAACCCCGAUAGCGUAGGCGGCUUACUAAACGGUAACUGACGCUGAGGCACGAAAGCAUGGGUAGCGAACAGGAUUAGAUACCCUGGUAGUCCAUGCCGUAAACGAUGAUCACUCGAUGUGCGCGAUACACUGUGCGCGUCCAAGCGAAAGCGUUAAGUGAUCCACCUGGGGAGUACGCCCGCA
rnacentral:rRNA from 1 species